rnacentral:tRNA from 1 species
AUAGUUUAGUGAAUACAAGCAUGUCUAGCUUGAGGUUUAGGCGGGUGUGAUAACUUUA